AUACGUAGGGUGCGAGCGUUGUCCGGAAUUACUGGGCGUAAAGAGCUCGUAGGUGGUUUGUCGCGUCGUCUGUGAAAUUCCGGGGCUUAACUCCGGGCGUGCAGGCGAUACGGGCAUAACUUGAGUACUGUAGGGGAGACUGGAAUUCCUGGUGUAGCGGUGAAAUGCGCAGAUAUCAGGAGGAACACCGGUGGCGAAGGCGGGUCUCUGGGCAAUAACGGACGCUGAGUAGCGAAAGAAUGGGUAGCGAACAGGAUUAGAUACCCUGGUAGUCCAUGCCGUAAACGGGGGGCGCUAGGUGUAGGGGUCUUCCACGACUUCUGUGCCGUAGCUAACGCAUUAAGCGCCCCGCCUGGGGAGUACGGCCGCAAGGCUAAAACUCAAAUGAAUUGACGGGG
rnacentral:rRNA from 1 species